AACCGACAAACAACCACCCCCUUGCACUGAGCUGAGCCAAAUCCAAGUGGUGGGGUUCAACUCUCAGUUGGUCAGCAAAGGAAGGGGUCUGCGACAUCAAGAGAAAGCACGGGGGACAGCCAGAAGAUUUGCAGAGAGCAGAGUAGAGGCCAAGCCCUGGCAUCUCAAGGACUGGGAGAGAAGGAGGAAGCUAACUCAGCUUUUUGCUGCCAUCUGUGCCAGAUUUCUGGAUCGUCUCUGAAGGAAUCAUUGCCACUGGAGGCAAAGAAACUACAGUCCUUAUUCCUCCUGUGCAUCAGUAGAUAGAAACACAGGACUCAUAGAAUCGUAGAGUUGGAAGAGACCACAAGAGCCAUCCAGUCCAACCCCCUGCCAUGCAGGAAAUCACAAUCAAAGCAUCCCGGACAGAUGGCCAUCCAUGGGGUUUUCUGUAUAUCAUACUGACUCAUACUUCACAAACGCCAAAUGUUAGUUUUGAACUACUUGUUCUUAUAACUCCUUUUAAUGAUUUUGAGAGAUGACCUCAGUUUGGAAGGAGAGAGAGAUAUUUCAUGGUCCUGUUUUUCAGCUUCUUCCAGUAAGUGGGGUGACUUAGACUAUGGACCAAAAUCCAGCUUUCUAGGUAUUAUGAAAUGUUGAUGUUUCUGUCAUAAUAGCCAGGCGCAAGUGUUUGCCUGUGUUCUCUCUCUCUCUUCCCCCCUCAUAUACCAGUUCCCAAUAAUGCAAUGUGGUGUAGUGGUUAGGGUACAGUAUUGGGUUUAGAUAAGGGAGACUCAGGUCAUUUUUGCUCAGCCCUGACGUUCACUGAAGCCAAAGCAAGUCAACCUAACCUACCUCAUAAGAUUGCAAUGUGAAUAAAGAUAGUGAUGUUUAAAAUGGUGCUUUAUGCAGUAUACCUUAUUCAGUAUAGGUAUAUCUACACUGCAUAAUUAUAGCAGUUUUGUACUGCUUUAAUGGCCAUGGCUCCAGCCUCUGGAAUCCUGGGAGUUAUAGUGUGGUCAGGAACUUAGAACCCAUUGGUAGGGCAGCUCCACGGCAUUCCAUUGAAGUGCAGCAAAGAAUUCUAAGCACCUCACUAAACUAUAAAUCCAAUAGGAUUCCACAGGAUAUU